UGCCAUGAUGUUGUAAUUUGCGUCCUACUCUGCACCAUGCGACAGUUGCCUACUGUCAUUAUGCUGGUGUAGGUGGCUGUCGAAAACCUACCUUCUGAGCC
rnacentral:snoRNA from 1 species